CCCGUGGGAGAGUGCCACGGUCCAUAACGGAUUGCGCGGACGCCGAAGGAGCAACCACCCCGGAAACUCUCAGGCAAACGGACCGCGGGGAG
rnacentral:ncRNA from 2 species